GAAUGACUGCCAUGACCUUCUCUGUAGCAACCUCUUUUACCAUCUGCACAGAGAUAUAUAUAGCCUAGGGCGGUGGAUACACACAUUUAAAAGAAAACUGCUUUCCAUAUGAGUCUAUGAGAAUCAACAUUUUAAUGUUACAGUUUCAUGCUUUAAAUGGACAUAAAACAUCUUGAAACUACAAGAUUUUUCUGCAGUAUUGCACGCAAGCACGCAGGUGCUCCCGCUACCAGACCAGAGUGGAAGCAUGCUACAGUCAGCUCAAUAGCGCGAUUGGGUGUGCUGUGAUAAGACAGGGCGCCCGAGAAGGGCUUUUGAAGCAGAAGACAUGAUCAGAAGAUCCUGGAGAGGA